AGCAGCCGCGGUAAUUCCAGCUCCAAUAGCGUAUAUUAAAGUUGUUGCAGUUAAAAAGCUCGUAGUUGAAUUUCGGGGUUAGUAGGUCGGUCGUGCCACAGGUAUGUACUGGUCUCACUGAUUCCUCCUUCCUGAUGAACCGUAAUGCCAUUAAUUUGGUGUUGCGGGGAAACUGGACUGUUACUUUGAAAAAAUUAGAGUGUUUAAAGCAGGCUAACGCCUUGAAUACAUUAGCAUGGAAUAAUGAAAUAGGACGUUCGAUCCUAUUUUGUUGGUUUCUAGGAUUGACGUAAUGAUUAAUAGGGAUAGUUGGGGGCAUUAGUAUUCAAUUGUCAGAGGUGAAAUUCUUGGAUUUAUUGAAGACUAACUACUGCGAAAGCAUUUGCCAAGGAUGUUUUCAUUAAUCAAGAACGAAAGUUAGGGGAUCGAAGACGAUCAGAUACCGUCGUAGUCUUAACCAUAAACUAUGCCGACUAGGGAUCGGAUGAUGUUAAUUUUUAAUGACUCAUUCGGCGCCUUA
rnacentral:rRNA from 1 species